GCAGGCUUAAAAAUCUAAACCAAAAGUUAAUCUUUAGUUUAUAAGUAACCCUUCAUAAUUAUAGAACAUAUCAGUGAGCAGAGAUAAAAUGUCCCUGUUCUACAGGUGGAAAAGCAGACCUUUCCUGCUCAGUCUCAUCAACAACCAUAAAGGCAACUGAAAAACAAGGGCAUAGAGAGGGAGAAAAGCACCUGAGAUGCUUCAUGAAUGGGGAGGGGGCAGCAACACAUGUUCAGGAGCUGCUUCCCCAAAGUUGGCUUUAUCAUCCUUUGAAACUCACAUUUUUUCCCCCUCCUGCAACACUGAGUUUUUAGCCUUGCCUGAAAUCUCUCUACUCUUUUAUUAAACUGACUCCUUUUUUCUUUUUUUUCUUUUUUUUCAAUGCAAGCUUUCCCAGUUGCUAUCCAAAUGCUUUCUAGCAGCACAGGCUGUGUAUUAGCAGUGCAUUAUCAUGGAGUUCCAUCUGCUGCUUCCCUCCCUCCCUGAAGUACAGCACAGCAUAGUAGCUAUCUAAUUUCUUGUGUGAAUUAGUAGUAUUUGGUGUGCUCUGCUGCUUUGGAGGACUGAGUAAGUAUCUCCUCACAUUCAUUUUCAGAACUUUGCUACAGUUCAUGUUUGUGUUUUGUUAUAAAAGCAUUUAUUUUUGUGACACUCUAUAAGCUUUUAUUGAAGUCUGCCUCUAAAUGAUUAAUUCUGUAAAAAUUUC
rnacentral:lncRNA from 1 species